CCCGCGCGGUGCCGUCACUGCUGACAGCUGAGUUUGAGCAGCUCCGGCAGCAGCAGAAAUCCCCUGGCCUUACAUGGCCAAAAAAAUGUAGUACAUGGUAUACUGGCACGACCAACAAUGAAUGAGACGCAAAUCUGUCUCUGUUGCAGGUAUACAGAAGAGUUUAAAUGUGAACCACAGCCAAGUUUUCAACCAUAUAAGCUAAGGCAUAGGCAAGGCUUUAAAUCUGACUUCAGAAUGAGGCUUCCAGCUUUUGAUGAACAGCAACAGGACACAGAGGUCACUCCGUGAUGGCUGCAUGGGGAAAGCUGCAGUGGAAGAGAGGAGCCACUUUCACAUGACGGUGCAAACAGGGAUAGGAAGCCUCCCUGACACAGGGACAAGGAUGAGCCCUGGGGCAGCUUAGAAAUUGACUGUUAGCAGUGAGCAUGAUAAAACAAACCCACUGGAUUGUUCUCUCUCAAGAGACCAAAAGACAAACUUUAAAAGAGGCCUUUCUCCAGCAGUGAUUUAUAGAAACCCUCUGCACAUCUAUUUGCUGUAAGGUUUUGCUGUAUGAGAAGAUGGAGUGGGAUGUCACUGGCCAGCUCAUUCCAUCUGUGGUCUUCCCAUUGCCAUUGGCAGCUGGACUGUGCACAUCCAUCUGAUUCAGCAAUUCACAGGGAAAGGAUCUGAAUAAUUUCAGGUAGGUAGAUGGUAAUUUUUAGUCACUGGACUCAUUGAGAAGGAUUUCAAACCUUCCAGCAUCUCCCAUACUCAAGGACUACAUGUAGGCAGUGUAAUGAAGAUAAAAACAGUGAAUGCAUUUCCCACCAGGAGAAUUACCACAAUAACAUGGCAAAUCUGUUGUUUUGUUUAUUCAAGCAUAUCUAAAAAUCUAAAAAGAAAAAAAAAAAAAAACAGGUCAUUUAGUUAUAUACAAAUCCUAAGUAUUGGUGUCACCAGGUAAAUCUGUGACUUCAGGUGCACUAUAGUGCAUGGCAGGACACAGAGAUGUCCUGGACACCAUCCAUACCUACCAGUGUGUAUAUACCUGUGACCAUGUGUUGUAGCAGAGUUAUCUGGCAAUCUGAGAAACUUCUGGGGCUCACAUGCACUUCACAAUAAGAAACUUCACAGUGCCAUAUAAGAAAAUCCUUGAAGCCAGAGGUCUGUAAUACACCCCUGGUUUGAACCCUGUAGACAUGCCCUUUUGAGUUCUUGGCCCACAGCCUUGAUUAGAGUCAAUUGGCAUAGCUGUGCUACAGUCAUUUCCCUGUUUACAUAGGAUGAGGAUCUGGUGCAUUAUGUAUUUUGGCUAUGGAGUACAGCUCUGCCUUCUGCUCAGCUGGCUGGCUGUGGAGACUGCAGUUGCUGGGUUUUGAACUCGGCAUUCAGGCUGGGGCUGGGUGACACUGCAAAGCCUCCGCACUCAGGCAAAUUUCCAAUGUUUCCAGGAAACCCGUGUGACCUCCUACUACCUGAUUUUCUCAGAUUGUUUCACUUAACUCUGAUGGUUGCUGGGAUCAACAUUUACUGUGGGUGCUCAGAAACCUGGACUCAUCCAGAUCCUAGAGGAGCGAGUGCACCAGCAGUGAAGGGGACACCAGCACCCAGGCACUGAGGGGAUGUGCUGUCUUCAGGGGGGAUUGCCACCCCAUGAACCAGAGGCAGCUGUGGGUGUCUGUAUUCAGCCAUGAGGACACUCUGUUUCUGUCUUGAUUGACAUGGUUCAUAAGAUGUGAAGGGUAUUUCCAUCAGGGAAAUACAGAUACAGUUUAAAGCAACCUUUAAAAAAUAGACUCAAUUAUGGAUACCACACCGAAUAGUCUUAAGUCCCUGUUUGAGUAAGUAAGAUAAUUAGUCCACUUAUGGAGGGUUCUUUUACUGUUUGUCUCAAGUGGGUAUUCUUAAAUGAGUUGUAAUCUUAUUUAUAUUAGUUUAACACAGAAUGUUGGACUGAUCUUUUUUCAUUGUAUGAAUGCUUUUUUAGAUUACAUCAACCUGCUCUACUAAUUUCAGCUCUGAAAGAAAUUUUUUAAAACUCUAAUUAUUACUCUAAUUAUGUUUAUACUAUGAAUUACUAUUACAGGUUGCAUGUUCAUGAUUAAUGAAGUCCAUCAUGGAAUUCUAGAAAUCAGUGUUGAAGCAUUAUGUUACUGUAGUAGUGUCUGGUGGUAUCUGUCACAUUUUUCAUGGAAAAAAUAUUCCAGGCAUGUGUAGCACUCUAUCUAUCACCUGUCUAUCUGGGCAUGAUAAAUGCAGCAAAAACCCCAAAGCAUUGACAUUGAUAUGAGUUUUCCAUUGACUUCUAUCAAACAAGAAAUAGACCCAGUUCAUGGGCCUGGCCAAGGUUUCUGCUUGUAAUAACUAUUUUAAGCCUUUUUUCUUUUCCCCCACAAAGUUAUUAUUUUAUGGAAAGAAGUAUAAACAUAAGUGAAAUGCCACAUAUAUCCACUAUAAAAAUUAAAAACAAAAGCAGGAAAACUAUCAUCUACAACCUUCUUUGCUUUAAUUUUCUAAUCCGACUAAGGAGCUGCUGAAACAAUUGGGCCCUUUAAGAUUUUGAUAAAAUCUUUCUUUUUUUCAUGGUUCUGCAAAGCUGAAAAAGGCACAACUGUGGCCAAUAUGUGUAUACUUGUCUAUUCCUCUCUCUUUGUGUUUGACCCGCUUUAAUAUAAAAUAUUUCUGACUGUGCAGUUAGCCAGAAAACCAAAAAUAGGAAAUACUACUCCAGCUCGGUUUGCUAAGGUGUUAAAAAGGCUUGUGGAUAAAUUCACAGAGUGCGUAAUGCAUCUGUGAUUCUGCCACUUCACAGCCCCUUCCCUCUCCCCAGCCGCCCCCAUGCCUCUACUGCAUCUGUGCAUAAUCAGGGAGAACAGAAACCUUUCUUUUACUCUGUCUUAUCUCAAUAUCCUUUGUUCAUGCCAAGCAGCAGCUCAUGAAUGCCUUGCUUUGCUCUACCUCUAUCUCACAAAGGUUGUGUUUUUCAGUUCCAAGGGGAGAAACCUAUCAUUCCCAAACAAUUGGAGAGAUUUCUAUCUGAACAUAAAUAAACAAAAGCUGUCCCUAGGGAACAUGGAAAAUGUUUUUCUCUAGAGAAGCA